ensembl:lncRNA
GCCUGGUAUGCCUGAAUUCACAGCUUGAACCACUUCUAGCUGUUUGGCUUUGGGCAAGUAACUUAACCUCUCUGAAUCCAGAUUUCUGCACUUAUUAAGUAACAUCAGCCUCAAAGGGAGACUAAAGGGGUGAAGUGAGAGGUGGCGGGCUGAACACAGCGGCCAUCGUGAUGCUCGGCCAUGAAGGUGUUUCGAACCCGAUCUCCCCACUUGGGCCUCUCUACAGGGGAGGUUACCACAUGGCAGCGGCUGCCUUCAUAGAGAACAAAUGGCAAGCACCCAGGAGGAAGCACAAUCGUUGUACAAUCGUUGUCUCAGGCAGUUUCCCACCGCUCCUCCUGGAUCUCUGCAUUGUCUUCACCAAGUUCAAGACGCCAAGCAGCUCGUGCUCCAGAGGGGAGUCCCAGAAGCCGCUACCCCACUAGGGCCACCUCAGUCGAUCAACAAUUAAGCUGGCAUACAUACAGCACGUGUCAGUCCUGCUUCCUCCACCGAAGAGAAAAAACGGGAGUCAAGUACAUUGUAACCUGGCAACCACGCUUGGAACCACGCCACUGGCUGAGCCCAGAAACUAUGACCCUAACUUCGGAGCGGCCUGCUGUGUCCACAGUAGUGACGGGAAGGGACGAGGCAGAACCAGGUCCCAUUGAGCUGAGCCAGGGUUGGAAGACCUGGUUCCACCCCCCUGCCCCUGCUGCUUCUGUUCACUGUUCGCUCUUGGCACAGAUACUCCAAUCAAGACGUCCUCUGGCCCAGACUCUGUCCUUGGCACAGAGAACACAGUGACGAAUGAGAGACUGACAUUCCCACGGACACAGAAUUUCUAAUUACAGAGAAAUAAAAACCAUAGAAGGAAAACACCAUGCUCUAUCCAGAGCUGGAAGGGCACCUGGGACAGACCACACCUCCAGGAGGUCCGGGAGGACUGUCCAUCAUACAGCUGGAGGAAGGGAAGGCGCAGUGUGUGCCAAGAUCACCAGCCAGAAGUUCUUCUUUAGGAGCAAGAUGGACUGAGUUCCCUGUGCUCAGGGCCAUGGGGGCCAUGGCAGGAGCAGAGUGGUCACCGGGAACAGCCCCAUGGGAUCAAAGAAAAACAUGGGUCACUUAGGGCAGUCUAUACUGGAGCAAAGGGCUCAGAUUGGCUGUAAGCCCCAGGGAAGGCCCUUUGAGGGUUUUAAGCUGUAGGGAGACAUAAUCUUAUUAAGGCCUUUAAAAGCCCCUCUGGCCACCGUGAGGCCAAGUGAGGAGGAGGCAGGAGCCCCAUAUGACAUAGGCUGGCUCAGACCAAUGUGAAGAAAUGGUAAGAAGACUCCAUGUCAAAGCCGGACAGGCAGCUGAAAGGUUGGAUGGGGAGGCCAGAAAGGAAGAAGUGGAUAUCAUCAGAGUCGGGCAGAAGCAGGGUAGUACAAGGCACAUACUAGGACAUUUAGUUCCAAGAUACCUGUUGGACACCUGCAUAAAGGGGUCGAGACCGCUGCUAGGGGGCCAGUGUAAAGGUGCCUGAGUGCAUAAAGGUGAGAAAAGUAAACAGACGUCACAAGGUUGCCCUCUGACCUACACAUGGAUGCAUGUAUGCACACACAUGAUGAUAAAUAAAUAAAGUUUUUUUAAAAAGAAAAAGGCCACUAGGUGAUGUUGGUGCACACCUUUAAUCCCAGCACUCAGGAGGCAAAGGCAGACAGAUCUCUGU